rnacentral:rRNA from 1 species
CUCUUGAGAGCGGCGGACGGGUGAGUAAUGCCUAGGAAUCUGCCUGGUAGUGGGGGAUAACGUUCGGAAACGGACGCUAAUACCGCACACGUCCUACGGGAGAAAGCAGGGGACCUUCGGGCCUUGCGCUAUCAGAUGAACCUAGGUCGGAUUAACUAGUUGGUGAGGUAAUGGCUCACCAAGGCGACGAUCCGUAACUGGUCUGAGAGGAUGAUCAGUCACACUGGAACUGAGACACGGUCCAGACUCCUACGGGAGGCAGCAGUGGGGAAUAUUGGACAAUGGGCGAAAGCCUGAUCCAGCCAUGCCGCGUGUGUGAAGAAGGUCUUCGGAUUGUAAAGCACUUUAAUUUGGGAGGAAGGGUUGUAGAUUAAUACUCUGCAAUUUUGACGUUACCGACAGAAUAAGCACCGGCUAACUCUGUGCCAGCAGCCGCGGUAAUACAGAGGGUGCAAGCGUUAAUCGGAAUUACUGGGCGUAAAGCGCGCGUAGGUGGUUUGUUAAGUUGGAUGUGAAAUCCCCGGGCUCAACCUGGGAACUGCAUUCAAAACUGACUGACUAGAGUAUGGUAGAGGGUGGUGGAAUUUCCUGUGUAGCGGUGAAAUGCGUAGAUAUAGGAAGGAACACCAGUGGCGAAGGCGACCACCUGGACUAAUACUGACACUGAGGUGCGAAAGCGUGGGGAGCAAACAGGAUUAGAUACCCUGGUAGUCCACGCCGUAAACGAUGUCAACUAGCCGUUGGAAGCCUUGAGCUUUUAUUGGCGCAGCUAACGCAUUAAGUUGACCGCCUGGGGAGUACGGCCGCAAGGUUAAAACUCAAAUGAAUUGACGGGGGCCCGCACAAGCGGUGGAGCAUGUGGUUUUAUUUCUAAGCAACGCGAAGAACAUUACCAGGCCUUGACAUCCAAUGAACUUUCUAGAGAUAGAUUGGUGCCUUCGGGAACAUUGAGACAGGUGCUGCAUGGCUGUCGUCAGCUCGU